rnacentral:rRNA from 1 species
UACGAAGGGGGCUAGCGUUGCUCGGAAUCACUGGGCGUAAAGGGUGCGUAGGCGGGUCUUUAAGUCAGGGGUGAAAUCCUGGAGCUCAACUCCAGAACUGCCUUUGAUACUGAGGAUCUUGAGUUCGGGAGAGGUGAGUGGAACUGCGAGUGUAGAGGUGAAAUUCGUAGAUAUUCGCAAGAACACCAGUGGCGAAGGCGGCUCACUGGCCCGGUACUGACGCUGAGGAGCGAAAGCGUGGGUAGCAAACAGG